UGCAACAAAAACAUUUCGACACAAAAUCAAAGAAACAAAGAGAAUGUGUCUCUUACAUUCUUGAAAGUCUCUAGCCUUGUUUAUUAGUGUUAGUGAAAACACGAUCUUAGCAUGCUAGAAUCUAGAUUGAAAAUUGUGAAACAAAAACGGGUUGAAAACAAUAAUAUAAAGUAGUAAAAGGUUUGAAAACCGUUAAGGAAAUAGACAAAUAGUCGAGAUUUGAUUUGUUUACUUAACUCAAUAAAUCACUCUUAUAUGAGAUAUUUUUAUACGAUUUUUAAGUUUCAGAAUAAAACUAUUUGCAUGUGUCACAAAAAAAAAAGAAUAAAACUAUUUGCAUCAACCAAAAAAACAAUCUGCAAACUUAACAUCCACAUUAUACUCUCUAAACUUACUUCAAAAAGAUUUGAGGUAUUGCUAGAACUUUGUAUGUGAAAGCUUAUCUUGAGUAAGAUUAUUAUGUGAGUAUAUUGGUAUUAGAGAGAUAAGACAUUUAUUUAUAUGAAAAAUUUAGGAAGUUUAAUCAUAAAUUAAUUUAAACAUUUGUCAUUAAAUUUAUUAACCUUUAGCCAUUUGUCUCCAAGUCAUUUUGGGUUAGACACAAAAUGUGUUUAGCUUAGCCAUUUGUCACCAAAUUGAUUUAGCUUAGUUAAUAAGAAAAAUUAGUCAUAAUUUUACUUAGCUUAAACAAUUUAUCACUAAAUAGAUUUAAAUUAGUCAUUAACUUAGUUCAAAGCUUUUUCAUUGUCCAAAGAUAACUCCAAAUUUAAGUCUGAUGAUAAAAUGUGACAUGUAGUGAUUCUAUUAAAUUAUAUCAUAUCUUUCUUUUCUAUUAAUGGUUAGUAAGAUCUGGUGUCAAAAAUUAAUAAUUAAUAAAAGAAAAUCUUCUUUAAUUUUAUAUUUCAUAUCACUUUGUAGCUCUUAUAACUGAUUUUGGGAAUGAAAUUAAGAUAAGAUUAUGAAAACAUAUAAUUAACCAAAUUUGAACUAUACUCUAUAUCUCAACGCUGUAGGAAAUCGUUUUUAACAAAAUGGUUUAAGACCAUUUCUCUGUAAGUUUGCGGACGAAGACGUUAGCUAAAUCCUUCACAUGCCUUUAUUUUUUAGUUUAUAGUUUUUUGUAUGUCUGAAAGUACAACAUAUAGAAAAAUUCGAUAGACUCUAUCUUUGAUGUUGGAAGAUAUAAACACAGCAGUUGUAUCUAAAAACAUCACACUAAAGGAAGUUUAAAGAUUUAAGAAAAGAGAUUUGCCAUUUUGACUCUACAAUUUUUUUAUAUCAAUUUAUUUUAGUUUUGUAAUUUAGAUUUAUGUUUUUCUUAUUUUUAAAAAUAUUAUUUGUCUCAUUGAAAUAUAUUAAGGUUCCUACAAAUACAAGAUAUAUAACAAGAAGGAUUCAUUGGUUAUUUCAUAACAGAAAAGAAGAAAGACAUGGAUGCAACUUCACCACCAGCACUACCAGAUGACGUCAUAGAAGAAAUCUUAUUGAGACUUAGGGUGAAAGAACUAAUCCGACUCAAGUGUCUUUCAAAACAAUGGAAAUCGUGGAUCGAGUCUUGCAGUUCCGUUGUACGAUUCCACUUGGACCAAACCCCUACUUGCAUGGUACUUCCAUUGAUGUAUUUGGAAGCACGAACCAUUUCUUGUAUGUUACGUUUUGUUGAUGAGAUGUUUUUUGCUCUUCUAUUAUGUUUUUUAUUUUUACUAAAAUGAGGCUAUAGUACAUGUGGAUAUCACACCAGACUGCAUGAGUCGUGAUGUGAGAGUAAUAUAUCUUCUUGAUCGUCAAAAACCAGAAAGAUAAUAAUAAUAUGAUCACAGCUUUAAGAAACAGUGAAUUUUGGUUAAAUUAUAUCUUAUCUAACUUUUCUAUUAAUAGUAUGUAAGAAUCUGCUGCCAGAAUUAAUAAUUAAUAUAAGAAAAUCUUGUCUAAUUUUGUAUUUCAUAUCACUUUAUAGUUUUAUAACUUGAUUUGAGGACUACAAUUAAAAUAACAUCAUGAAAAACAUAGAGUUAACCAAAUUUAAACUAUACUCUAAAAUCUCAACUCAAUACAAGAUAUAUAACUAAGACUUUUUAACCCCUUUGUAUCUUUGUGACCUAAUACGAGUUUGAGAUCUUCUAGUUUCUGUUUUCUUCAAGAUCACCCACCAGAAAACAACCGGUUUGUAACUGAUACUAUCUCUUUUUCUUUAAAGAACAACAGUUUUCUGCUAGUAUAACUAAUCAACGGGUUUCCACAUUGUUAUAACUAGGUUAGGAACCCACACGAUAUCGCGUGGGAACUCAAUUUUAAAAAAUACAUAUCACUUUAUAAUUUUAGUUUUUGUAUCAAUUUAUUUUAAUUUUAUUUUUGAAAAAAAUCUCAUGUCAAAACGUAGAAUAUAUGUGUUUAUAUUUAUUUAUAGAUAAUAUGAAAACGUAUAUUUUAUAGUUUUAGAUUACAACUAAAAUACAAAUAUGUCAAUACCAAAAAUUUAAAUCUUCUAUUAAUUUAGGUAAGUUUUAUAAUUUUCUAAAUGAUAUUUAAUAUUUUCAAAUUAAUUAAAAUAAGCAACACAUUUAAAUUUAAUCAUUUACUAAUUUGUAAGGUAAUUUAAAAUGACAAAUAUUACAUUCAUCAUUUUUGAAGCUUUGUAAAAAUAUGUAUUGUCAAAACAUGAAUAUAUGAAAACUUUAAGAGAUCUUGUCAAUCCAUAUUUUUACGGGUAAAUCACACACAUUUUUCUUUGUGCAUUAUUUGCAUUUUAUUUAUUUUGAAAAUUGAUCUUUGACGAAUCUGACAAUGAAACACUCUGCUUUAUAAUCUAUUUUUAAGUUUUUUUGUUGUUAUUUUAGUUAUGAUUUGUCAUUAUCCACAAUUAUUUAUAUAGAAGAAUGGUUGUAAUAACUAACAACCAAAUAUUGCAACGUUCAUCUAAUGAUUGCAAUACUAACACCAAAAAUUUCAAAAAUACAUCACUAAAUACUACAAUUACCAACAAUUUAUAAUGCUUCAUGACAUAUGAUCACAAUAACCCAUUACCAAAAAAUGUAAUCACCAACAAUUGCAAUGUUUGUGUUCCAAAAAAAAAAAAAACAAUUGCAAUGUUUCAUUUAAUCAUUUGUAAUUUUUUUUAAGUAAAUGUAAAAGUUAACUUCGACGAUUUCAAAGAUUUAUUUAAAUCUGGCUAUAUUUUCUCAAUUAAUUAUAAUUAGAGAUUCAGUUAAGAAUCACUUAUAUAAACUCAAACAUAAAUUUAAAUGUGCAUGAAUAAAUAUAAUCGUUUUGGUUUAUACUCAUCUAUUAAUAAAUAAAUUAUUUAAAUAAGUCAUAACGUUUUAUCUGAAAUCCGAAAAAAAAAUCAACCAAAAACAUACUAAAGCAUGUUGCAAACCACAAAAUAUAACUGAAAACCAUAAAUUAAAUUUUGUAAAUAUAUAAUAUUAUAAAAUAUUAAUUACCCAACAAAUAAAAUUAACCAAAUAAUUUUAAAUAUUAAGAUUAACUAACAUUUAUAUAAAUAGAUAUGAAAAUAUAAUUGAAAAUCUCAUUAAAAACUUUUGCAAUUUUUAGAAUGAAUAUACACUUUUUAGACAUUUCUAUAUGCUUUUAAAUAUAUAUAUGUAAUUUUUAGAAUAAAAUGACACAUCUUUAAAUGAAAGAUAACUCUUUAAAAAUCUCUACAGUUUUUAUGAUGAAAAAAUACAUAAUUAUGGAAAGAAGCAUCUUUAGAUUUUUCCUCUUAAAACUAAUAAAAUUUAUAGGUGAAAAAUACAUCACUUAACAUUUGUUGAAAAAAAUACAUAGUUGCAUCUAUUGCUUAUGAAAAGAUAUAACUUUCAAAACUAAUACAUUUAAAAUAAAAAGAAUGAAAACAUUCCAAUAAAUGUUAAAGGAUGCAACUUUUCAUUUUAAACAUUGCAUUAGUUCUUAUAGAUUGUGAAAAUAUAUAAAGAUGUGUCUUUUCAUAAAUAUAUGUCUUUUCAUAAAAGUCCAUAUGAAUAAUAACAACUUUUCAUAUUUUAAUUAGUUAUUUAAAAUAACACUUUUAUAAUGGUAGUAUAUAACUUUUUAAACAAAAAAUUAAUUAAUAUACAUUCUUAUGAUGAAAAGACACAGCAAAACAUUUAUUUAUAAAUUUCACAAUAGUUUUAUAUUGAAGAGAUACAACUUUUAGUCAAAAGACAUCUUAAUAAACAAACACAACUUUUAACAAAAAUUGAGAUUCCAAUAAAAACACACAACCUUUGGAAUUAAUUGAAUAUCCUAUUAUUAGUAAACUUAAGUAUAAGUACGAAGAACUCCUUAUAACAAAAUGGUUUUAAAGAACUUAAGAUUUUAUUAUUAUAGUAUAUGUAAUUAACGAACAGAUAAAAUUUUGUAAGAGACAAAACUAUGCUUCGCUCCGAAGGGGGAUGCAAUUUAUUUUUUCGAACAUGCAACGUACAUAAAGAAUUCACAAUUAUAUAAUAUAAAUCUUAACAAUAAAUUAUGAUUUUUGGGGUUUGUCAUAUGUAUCCGUUUGCUAAAGGGUUGAUGGGAAGAAGAGGGUAAGUACCUACGAUGGUGUUUUGGUGGUCAGGUUUGUUGUCAAUUAUUGUAACUAUGCUUUAGGUUUAUAUAUCAACCCUUCUGCUGGGAAACAAGACUUACUUUUAGUUAAAUUAUUAUUUUUCUCUGUUGCAUGAUUUUGUAUUGACAGAUUAUUGGUUAGGAAUAGUUUUUAGGACCAAAGUAGUGAACAAAAUAAUAACAGUUUUUCAAACAACGGACAAUUUGCAAACCUGUCUAUUUAUCAAUCAACAGAUAAUUUGAGUUUAGGGACGCAACCAAAAUGGAUAAUUUGAUUAAUACAACCAAGUUUCUUCUAAAUUUCACUUAGUUGGUGUAAGAAUAAUAAUAAAGAGAUAAAAUCGCUAGCAAGUUAAUGAAGCGAAGAAGAAACAAGAAAGGCGAAAGCUGUUAGGAAUCCUAUAGAAAUUGAAACCUCCCUGACGCUGCUGCUGUUUUAAUAUGAUCGGCGGUCUCGGUUUAUUAAGAAGGCAUUCGAUACACAACGGCGGCUGCGGUGGUGGAAGUGGUAGUGGGCAGUGCGUACAGGGCGGUGGUGGUGAUUGUGGUGGCAAAGGAGGAGAAGGCGGUGGUGGUGAAUGUGGUGGGGGAGAGAAGAACACCAGUCAGUCAUACAUAGAAUACAAAACCGUAACCAGAUUUAAUGGGUAAUUUACCUUGCGGAUUAAAUACAAGAAGUCAACGCCUUCCUCACUUUGUGCCAAACUCUUGAGGCUUAUGUGUCUGUAACAUUAAACCAAAACUCUUCUCGUGUUAGUACAAUUUUAAGUGUUCAGUUUAAUGUACACUUUAGUUGAAAAAUAUGGUAUGUUAUUGACGUUCUUUCGAUAUUAUUUGAAAAAAUUUCAACGAACAGAAGAUGUUUCUUUAUUCUGAAAAAUGCAUGUUAGAGACUAUUUAUAGAUUUUAAAAAUCUAUUUAAAUAGUCACAACUCUUCAAUUUAAAUAGUCACAUUCUUUCAAUUUAAAUGUAGUUAUUUUGAAAAGAUACUUAUAGAAAUAAUAAUAACUUUUCAUUUUUUCAAAGAUACUUAUUAGAAAAGUCAUAAUUUAUCAAAAUUUUCUUUUAUAACUGCAAAAAAUGACAUAACAUAACCAAUUACACUAACAUAUAACAUCUCAUAACAUAAGAAAAAAACAUAACUAUUUAGACAAUUUUUAGAAAAGACACAACAUUCCAACAUUAAAUAAUAACAUCUAUUUGAUUUAAAUACUAACUAAUACACAACUCUUGAAACAAAUAAUGAAAUGACAUAUCUUAAUAUCUCAAUAUAUAAUGAAAAGACACAAUUUUUAACGAGAAAUAAAAUUCUUAUAAAACAUACAACUUUUCAACAUUGUUUGGGUUUGCUAUUAUUAAUUGUUUUUUUUUCUUCACCAUUUUAUUUGAUUAGUGAAAAUUAUGCUUUGAGAAGGCAUGCACAUUGGACUAUUUAUAGAUUUUCAAAAUUUUGUUUGAGGAGUCACAUCUUUUCAAUUAAAAGGUUGUAAUAAUACUUAUAUGAAGAGUUGUGACUUUUUAAUAUGAAUGGCCACAUUCUUUCAAUAUAACUUUUAAUUGUUGAAAAGACACAACUUUUCAACAUAAGUGAAAUUCACAACCUUUUGAAUUAAUUGGGAUUGCUAUUAUUAGUAGAUGAUGAUGAUGAGCAUGUUGGUAACAUCAAAUAGAUUUCCUUACCUUCUUUUCCAAAUGAUCAUGUUGACUCUAUAAUAUAUUAUAAUAAAGGAUAGAUUUGUCAUUAUUAUUUUGAACAAGUUCAUCUCCAUCCCAAUACACCAAGUAAAACUCACAUGGAUGAGUCAUCUAGAUAAGUUUUAUUUUAGGCUAAAAUUAAAAAUACUGAUACAUAUUUUAACUUAAAACGAACAUCAUCAAUUCUCCUCUAGUUUGAAGAAUUAUCUUGCAUUGUCUCUUCCUUUGUUCUCUAUUUUCCUUCUUCUUCUUGCAUUACUCUCAAAAACGCUUCAAGUGCUCUCUUCAUCCACUCAUACCGACACAGCUCUAAUGCUUCUUUAACAUUCAACUGCACAUUUUUCAUGUAAUCCCAAAUUUAUAUAUGAAAUGACAUAAUCAUCAGUUCAUUCGAUCUUAUACUUGUUAUUAUAUUUUGAGCUUCUUACCCAUUUUCUUUGGCGAUUCCCACGUUCUGGCCAUUCCUGGAGUUCUUCGGUUACCUCUAAUGCAAACAUAUAGCCUUUGCAUCCACCAAAAGAUUCAUCCUCCGCAUUGGUACUAAUACUACUUUUGCUUCUAAAUUCCCAAACUCCUAAAGGAACUUCCUGAAACAAAUGACCAAUAAAUGAUAAACAAACUUUUUGAAUCACUUUUCCUUGAAGAUUGAAAACUUACUCUAAGUAUUCCUUUAACUCCAGCUUCUUCCAUGGCUUCGCGAGAAGCAGCUUCAAGAACGGUCUCAUCAUUUUCCCAUCCUCCCUGAUAAUAAUAGUAACAUAACACCAAAAAAAAUAAAGUUUUUAUAAAGACAGGAAGAGAGGUAGAUUUUCGAAAGAAAUUGAAAAAAAAACCUUUGGGAAGACAAGAUCAUGACGAUUAGGAGAUGAAACCAUGAGAACUUGAAGCUUGUUUACAAAGUCAACACUUGUGUCUUCUUCAAGUUCCUUGUCUUUGAUCAGACGAUACGGAAUGCAUCUGUUCAUCAAACACUAAGAAAUCAACCAUUUUGCUUUCUCGUUUUUGUAUAUGUUCCCGACAGUUUCAAACUUGCAAAACUGCUCAUCAUUCGAAAAAAAAGAAAUGAUUUUCUUAUAUUUACCCAGAAACGAGUCGGAAGUUGUUGUCGUAACGUUGACGAUCUCGUCCGGUCCGAGAUGAAAGAACCGACAUUGAUGAAUCUGCAACAAAAACAUUUCGACAAAAAAUCAAGGAAACAUAGAGAAUGUGUCUCUUACAUUCUUGAAACUCACUAGCCUUGUUUAUUAGUGAAAACACGAUCUUAGCAUGCCAGAAUCCAGAUUGAAAAUUGUGAAACAAAAACGGGUUGAAAACAAUAAUAUAAAGUAGUAAAAGGUUUGAAGACCGUUAAGGAAAUAGACAAAUAGUCGAGAUUUGAUUUGUUUACUUAACUCAAUAAAUCACUCUUAUAUGAGAUAUUUUUAUAAGAUUUUUAAGUUUCAGAAUAAAACUAUUUGCAUGUGUCACAAAAAAAAAAUAAUAAAACUAUUUGCAUCAACCAAAAAAACAAUCUGCAAACUUAACAUCCACAUUAUACUCUCUAAACUUACUUCAAAAUGAUUUGAGGUAUUGCUAGAACUUUGUAUGUGAAAGCUUAUCUUGAGUAAGAU
rnacentral:lncRNA from 1 species